rnacentral:rRNA from 1 species
AUUGAACGCUGGCGGCAGGCCUAACACAUGCAAGUCGAGCGGAGCGGCGGACGGGCGUGUAAUGCCUAGGUAUAUGCCUGGUAGAGGGGGAUAACGUACGGAUACGGGAGCUAAUACCGCAUACUAUCAGAUGAGCGUAGGUCGGUUUAGCUAGUUGGUGGGGUAAGGGCCUACCAAGGCGACGAUCCGUAACUGGUCUGAGAGGAUGAUCAGUCACACGGGAACUGAGACACGGUCCAGACUCCUACGGGAGGCAGCAGUGGUGAAUAUUGGACAAUGGGCGAAAGCCUGAUCCAGCCAUGCCGCGUGUGUGAAGAAGGUCUUCGGGUUGUAAAGCACUUUAAGUUGGGAGGCGUGACCAACAGAAUAAGCACCGGCUAACUUCGUGCCAGCAGCAGCGGUAAUUC